rnacentral:rRNA from 1 species
ACCGGAGGAAGGUGGGGAUGACGUCAAAUCAUCAUGCCCCUUAUGACCUGGGCUACACACGUGCUACAAUGGACGGUACAAAGAGCUGCAAGACCGCGAGGUGGAGCUAAUCUCAUAAAACCGUUCUCAGUUCGGAUUGUAGGCUGCAACUCGCCUACAUGAAGCUGGAAUCGCUAGUAAUCGCGGAUCAGCAUGCCGCGGUGAAUACGUUCCCGGGCCUUGUACACACCGCCCGUCACACCACGAGAGUUUGUAACACCCGAA